rnacentral:rRNA from 1 species
AUUGAACGCUAGCGGGAUGCCUAACACAUGCAAGUCGAACGAGUGGCGGACGGGUGAGUAAUAUAUCGGAAAGUGCCCAGUAGCGGGGGAUAACUACUCGAAAGAGUGGCUAAUACCGCAUACCAUCGGAUUGGCCGAGAUCGGAUUAGCUAGUAGGUGGGGUAAAGGCUCACCAAGGCAACGAUCCUUAGCUGGUUUGAGAGGACGACCAGCCACACUGUGACUGAGACACGGCCCAGACUCCUACGGGAGGCAGCAGUGGGGAAUAUUGCACAAUGGGGGCAACCCUGAUGCAGCCAUCCCGCGUGUAUGAAGAAGGCCUUCGGGUUGUAAAGUACUUUCAGCGGGGAGGCGUUAUCUGCAGAAGAAGCACCGGCUAACUCCGUGCCAGCAGCCGCGGUAAUUC